AUUGAACGCUGGCGGAAUGCUUUACACAUGCAAGUCGAACGGCAGCAUAGAGAGCUUGCUCUCUGAUGGCGAGUGGCGAACGGGUGAGUAAUAUAUCGGAACGUGCCUAGUAAUGGGGAAUAACUAGCUGAAAGGUUAGCUAAUGCCGCAUACGACCUACGGGUGAAAGCAGGGGAUCUUCGGACCUUGCGUUAUUAGAGCGGCCGAUAUCUGAUUAGCUUGUUGGUGGGGUAAUGGCCUACCAAGGCGACGAUCAGUAGCUGGUCUGAGAGGACGAUCAGCCACACUGGAACUGAGACACGGUCCAGACUCCUACGGGAGGCAGCAGUGGGGAAUUUUGGACAAUGGGGGCAACCCUGAUCCAGCCAUUCCGCGUGAGUGAAGAAGGCCUUCGGGUUGUAAAGCUCUUUCGCAAGAGAAGAAAACUUGCUAUCUAAUAAAUAGUAAGUAUGACGGUAUCUUGACAAGAAGCACCGGCUAACUACGUGCCAGCAGCCGCGGUAAUACGUAGGGUGCAAGCGUUAAUCGGAAUUACUGGGCGUAAAGCGUGCGCAGGCAGUUUUAUAAGUCAGCUGUGAAAUCCCCGAGCUCAACUUGGGAAGGGCGUUUGAACCUGUAAGACUAGAGUGUGUCAGAGGGGGGUAGACUUCCAAGUGUAGCAGUGAAAUGCGUAGAGAUUUGGAGGAAUGCCAAUGGCCAA
rnacentral:rRNA from 1 species